CGCAAGCCUGACGGAGCAAGACCGCGUGGGGGAGGAAUGCCUUAGGGUUGUAAACCCCUUUUAUCUGGGAAGAACAAAAUGACGGUACCAGAUGAAUAAGCCUCGGCUAACUCCGUGCCAGCAGCCGCGGUAAUACGGAGGAGGCAAGCGUUAUCCGGAAUUAUUGGGCGUAAAGAGUCAGUAGGUGGUUCGUCAAGUCUGCUGUUAAAGCGUGCAGCUCAACUGCAUAUAGGCAGUGGAAACUGUUGAACUAGAGUGCGGUAGGGGCAGAGGGAAUUCCCGGUGUAGCGGUGAAAUGCGUAGAUUUCGGGAAGAACAUCGGUGGCGAAAGCGCUUUGCUAGACCGAAACUGACACUCAGGGACGAAAGCUAGGGGAGCG
rnacentral:rRNA from 1 species